UACGUAGGGUGCGAGCGUUGUCCGGAAUUACUGGGCGUAAGGAGCUCGUAGGUGGUUUGUCACGUCGUCUGUGAAAUUCCGGGGCUUAACCUCGGGCGUGCAGGCGAUACGGGCAAUACUUGAGUGCUGUAGGGGAGACUGGAAUUCCUGGCGUAGCGGUGAAAUUCGUAGAUAUCAGGAGGAACACCAAUGGCGAAGGCAGGUCUCUGGGCAGUUACUGACGCUGAGGAGCGAAAGCAUGGGUAGCGACAGGAUUAGAUACCCCGUA
rnacentral:rRNA from 1 species